rnacentral:rRNA from 1 species
UACGUAGGGGCUAGCGUUGUCCGGAUUAUUGGGCGUAAGAGCGUGUAGGCGGCCAGGUAGGUCUGCUGUGAAACUCGAGGCUCAACCUCGAGCUGUCGGUGGAAACCCCUUGGCUAGAGUCCGGAAGAGGAGAGUGGAAUUCCUGGUGUAGCGGUGAAAUGCGCAGAUAUUAGGAAGAACACCAAUGGCGAAGGCAGCUCUCUGGGACGGUACUGACACUGAGACGCGAAAGCGUGGGGAGCGAACAGG